GGUUCUGUAGUGUAGCGGUUAUCACUCGAGAUUCUGAUUCUCGAAACCCAGGUUCGAAUCCUGGCAGGACCU
rnacentral:tRNA from 1 species